AUCCAGUUGACGACUCCUAAAUAGGACGAAAUGCGCAUCCUGGAU
rfam:Trichobilharzia regenti genome assembly, scaffold: TRE_scaffold0002544